ensembl:lncRNA
CGGGCUUGCUGGGCCUGCGUGGGCACCCACACCACAGAUGACCGCGCUGACCGCUGGGCUGGUGGUGACGGGGGGGGGACAAGCCCGGUCUCUCAGACAGUCCCUCCUUCCUGCAGAGAAGUCUGCCCGCCGGGGGCAGCGACAGACCUGUGCCAGGGCCUGGGGUUCGGCUUGGAGCUGGGUAACAGAUGGGAAAACAAAGGCUGAGAGAGGAGAAGCAACAGCCUGAAGUCUCCAGGUCGGCAGCAGCCCCGGGCCACUUGUGUGGACAAGGCCAGUCGAGUGCGCUCCCUCGUGGGGACUCGGGGAAGGACGUGCAGUUAUGGCAAUGUCACCUGCGUUCAGCCCGAGGGUGCUGGCACGGAUCAGGCAGCAGGCAUACUUCCUGGUGUUGUUCACGUGGUCCUCCUCCCAGCGCCUCAGGGUGGACACAUGAGCUGUGGCCUCUCAGAGCCCAGGCCCUGUCCCAGGAGGACCUGGAGAGGGACCGAGAGGCACCCGGAGCCUUUCCAGAGCUGUUUCCUGAGCAGCCACGACGGCCUGGGUAAAGGCACACCAGCCUCGCUGGGUGCUUCCUGCAAACACUUCUCCACCAGAGGAGGUGCAGAGUGACGCACCAGCAGUCUUCACAGGAUGGGCAGGGCCUCAGAAGCAAUCCAGCACUGGCAAGGGCAGUUCUCCUGGGGCUGUCUGGGGUUGGGUUUCCUUUCUCCUGUGCAUUUUAUUUAAGAUAACUAGACGCAAAUUUGAUGCUUUUCCCCCUAAACCUACAGUCAGGAGCCCAGGUGGGAAGAUGUGGGAGCACAGAAUCUAGACUCAAACUGACUCAGUUCAGGACUUUCUUCUGCACCGCUUGGGCAAAUCGCUUGAACUCUCCCAAACUACCUGCCUGAUCUAGUAAUACCCAAGGCUUUCAGGGUACAUAAACGGUGUAAGUCAGGAACACUCACACCGUGCGGGGCACAAGCAAGCUCCCAAUCGAUAUCUGUUGCUAUUAUUGCCUCCGGAUCAGCUACUUUCGUGUUCGGUCUCCUAGCAGAAGGAAACCACCCAAGUCCUGUCAGAAACUUCCAGUUUCUGAGUCAGCUGCUGCCCACCAUUGCUCAAUAGUUCAGCUACAAACUGAUCUAAAACUGAAACACAAAGCCUUCCUCAAGGUUCCCCAGUGACUGACUGUUGUUUCCCUAUUUACUUUUGUGGGGUCCCAGAUUCAAGGGCUGAUAGAUCACCCUAACCACUGAGACUCAGAUGCUCACCCUUCACCCCAGGAGAUAAGACGUCGCUGGAGAGGAGAAGGAGACAUUGCUGUUUUCUGUCCAAGUUUUCCCCAAGCCAGUGACACAUGAGCCUCCCCAGCUCAUAUAUUAUUUGGCCUAAUUACCGGUGAAUGUCAAUCCAUGAAAUCAAAAUAUUCCUAAUGAUUUAGAAUUUUGUUUUCAUAAAAACUAAACUUAAAUGGAGUGUUUGUCCCUCGUGACUUGCGUUGGAAGACACACCUUGUGAGCUGUGAGCUGGGGGCUUCACUAGUCACACACAGAUCAGAGUUAGCUCAGCCAAGACCGAGGGGCACCACGGGGCGUGGUGGACUCGGUGGAAAGAGAGCAGCAGCGCACCCCGUGGCCUGGGGCCCACCCUGUCCAGCCCCUCCACCCUGGGCAGCGAGGUUCCCUGAGCGUCUCUUAUGCGCCCAAUAUUGGC